GGAGAGGUGUCCGAGAGGCCGAAGGAGCACGACUGGAAAUCGUGUAAACUGCAAAACAGUUUCUGGGGUUCGAAUCCCCAUCUCUCCACCA
rnacentral:tRNA from 1 species